AGUGGCGCACGGGUGCGUAACGCGUGAGCAACCUACCUCUAUCAGGGGGAUAGCCUCUCGAAAGAGAGAUUAACACCGCAUAAUAUAAUGUACCGGCAUCGGGAUAUUAUUAAAUAUUUAUAGGAUAGAGAUGGGCUCGCGUGACAUUAGCUAGUUGGUAGGGUAACGGCUUACCAAGGCGACGAUGUCUAGGGGCUCUGAGAGGAGAAUCCCCCACACUGGUACUGAGACACGGACCAGACUCCUACGGGAGGCAGCAGUAAGGAAUAUUGGUCAAUGGGCGGAAGCCUGAACCAGCCAUGCCGCGUGCAGGAUGACUGCCCUAUGGGUUGUAAACUGCUUUUGUCCAGGAAUAAACCUAAAUACGUGUAUCUAGCUGAAUGUACUGGAAGAAUAAGGAUCGGCUAACUCCGUGCCAGCAGCCGCGGUAAUACGGAGGAUCCGAGCGUUAUCCGGAUUUAUUGGGUUUAAAGGGUGCGUAGGCGGCCUAUUAAGUCAGGGGUGAAAUACGGUGGCUCAACCAUCGCAGUGCCUUUGAUACUGAUGGGCUUGAAUCCAUUUGAAGUGGGCGGAAUAAGACAAGUAGCGGUGAAAUGCAUAGAUAUGUCUUAGAACUCCGAUUGCGAAGGCAGCUCACUAAGCUGGUAUUGACGCUGAUGCACGAAAGCGUGGGGAUCGAACAGGAUUAGAUACCCUGGUAGUCCACGCCCUAAACGAUGAUAACUCGAUGUUGGCGAUAGACAGCCAGCGUCUUAGCGAAAGCGUUAAGUUAUCCACCUGGGGAGUACGCCCGCAAGGGUGAAACUCAAAGGAAUUGACGGGGGCCCGCACAAGCGGAGGAGCAUGUGGUUUAAUUCGAUGAUACGCGAGGAACCUUACCCGGGCUUGAAAGUUAGUGAAGAGAUCAGAGACGGUCUCGUCCUUCGGGACACGAAACUAGGUGCUGCAUGGCUGUCGUCAGCUCGUGCCGUGAGGUGUUGGGUUAAGUCCCGCAACGAGCGCAACCCCUAUGUUUAGUUGCCAGCAUGUAAUGGUGGGGACUCUAAACAGACUGCCUGUGCAAACAGUGAGGAAGGUGGGGACGACGUCAAGUCAUCAUGGCCCUUACGUCCGGGGCUACACACGUGCUACAAUGGAUGGUACAGCGGGCAGCUACAUAGCAAUAUGAUGCUAAUCUCUAAAAGCCAUUCACAGUUCGGAUUGGGGUCUGCAACUCGACCCCAUGAAGUUGGAUUCGCUAGUAAUCGCGUAUCAGCAAUGACGCGGUGAAUACGUUCCCGGGCCUUGUACACACCGCCCGUCAAGCCAUGAAAGUUGGGGGUACCUAA
rnacentral:rRNA from 1 species